UGUGGUUAUAAUCGUACUAACACGAGGAACCGUGACACAUCUUGAGGUGACUAGAAAGAACUGGAGUUCGCGCAUUCACCCUUGGUGGRCAAAGUGACAGGUGGUGCAUGGUUGUCGUCAGCUCGUGUCGUGAGAUGUUGGGUUAAGUCCCGCAACGAGCGCAACCCUUAAGCUUAGUUGCCAUCAUUAAGUUGGGCACUCUAAGUUGACUGCCGGUGACAAACCGGAGGAAGGUGGGGAUGACGUCAAAUCAUCAUGCCCCUUAUGAUUUGGGCUACACACGUGCUACAAUGGACAAUACAAAGGGCAGCGAAACCGCGAGGUCAAGCAAAUCCCAUAAAGUUGUUCUCAGUUCGGAUUGUAGUCUGCAACUCGACUACAUGAAGCUGGAAUCGCUAGUAAUCGUAGAUCAGCAUGCUACGGUGAAUACGUUCCCGGGUCUUGUACACACCGCCCGUCACACCACGAGAGUUUGCAACACCCGAAGCCGGUGGAGUAACCUUUUAGGAGCUAGCCGUCGAAGGUGGGACAAAUGAUUGGGGUGAAGUCGUAACAAGGUAGCCGUAUCGGAAGGUGCGGCUGGAUCACCUCCUUUCUAAGGA
rnacentral:rRNA from 1 species